AAAUCAGAUAAUAUCAAAAAAGAAAUCCCACCUUCAAAUUUUUGUGGAUCAAAUAAUUUAACAAUCAACAAGAGAAAUCUUGAUGAUUUCUGUUUCCUUCCGCAUUCUGCAUCAGAAAUUGUUCAGAGCUUUCCAUGAAGCAAACAAAACCCUGGGAUGGCUCAUCGCUGAGUUGAGAUCUGCACUGAUAUCAUCCAACAGCGGAAGUUAUGAUAUGGAUACAAACAUGUGAUAUCACUGAAGGCAUUAAUGCAUUUCGAGCUGUUGAUGAAUUUUCAAAACCAUAAGAACAUGCAUUCUAUAUUUAUUAGCGAAGCAUCGCUUAAAAUCUCAAAUGAACCCAGCAAAUAUCUUCUGUGAACUUGAGUUUUGCCUAAGAAUUUUGAUGAGUUUAUGAGUUGGAGUCAUUUAAUAUACUGUAGCUAAGAAUUUAGCAGAAUUUUGGCAUGCUUUGAUGAUAGUUUAAUGUCCAUUUCACUGAAGCUGGCCUAGAUGACUCUCUGGAUUGAUAGAUAGGCCAUAGAAUGUAGUCCAAAGUCAGUUGGGUCCCUCUGUUACAAUUUACAUUAUGGGUUCUUUGUCCUAACAGACAGGAUUGUUCAUCCAUUAGAAAACCUCCCCAUGUGUUCUUCUCUGAUUCUGUUUAAUUUUCAGUGGAAGGAUUUU